rnacentral:rRNA from 1 species
UACGGGGGGGGCAAGCGUUGUUCGGAAUUACUGGGCGUAAAGGGCGCGUAGGCGGCCUUCUAAGUCAUGCGUGAAAUCCCUGGGCUCAACCCAGGAACUGCGUCUGAUACUGGAAGGCUUGAAUCCGGGAGAGGGAUGUGGAAUUCCAGGUGUAGCGGUGAAAUGCGUAGAUAUCUGGAGGAACACCGGUGGCGAAGGCGGCAUCCUGGACCGGUAUUGACGCUGAGGCGCGAAAGCCAGGGGAGCAAACGGG